UACAGAGGGGGCUAGCGUUGUUCGGAAUUACUGGGCGUAAAGGGUGCGCAGGCGGCCCCGCAAGUCAGGCGUGAAAUCCCCGGGCUCAACUUGGGAAUGGCGCUUGAAACUACGGGGCUGGAGUGUGGCAGAGGGAGGUGGAAUUCCACGUGUAGCGGUGAAAUGCGUAGAGAUGUGGAGGAACACCGAUGGCGAAGGCAGCCUCCUGGGCCUUACCUGACGCUCAGGCGCGAAAGCUAGGGGAGCGAACAGG
rnacentral:rRNA from 1 species